GACGAACGCUGGCGGCGUGCCUAAUACAUGCAAGUAGAACGCUGAAGAGAGGAGCUUGCUCUUCUUGGAUGAGUUGCGAACGGGUGAGUAACGCGUAGGUAACCUGCCUUGUAGCGGGGGAUAACUAUUGGAAACGAUAGCUAAUACCGCAUAACAAUGGAUGACACAUGUCAUUUAUUUGAAAGGGGCAAUUGCUCCACUACAAGAUGGACCUUCGUUGUAUUAGCUAGUAGGUGAGGUAAUGGCUCACCUAGGCGACGAUACAUAGCCGACCUGAGAGGGUGAUCGGCCACACUGGGACUGAGACACGGCCCAGACUCCUACGGGAGGCAGCAGUAGGGAAUCUUCGGCAAUGGGGGCAACCCUGACCGAGCAACGCCGCGUGAGUGAAGAAGGUUUUCGGAUCGUAAAGCUCUGUUGUAAGUCAAGAACGGGUGUGAGAGUGGAAAGUUCACACUGUGACGGUAGCUUACCAGAAAGGGACGGCUAACUACGUG
rnacentral:rRNA from 1 species